AUAACACCGGCGUGUACACGGCAGUGCCCUUGCUGUUUCUAUAGAGGGAUAUUUUUCUGUACUGGCUCAAUAUUUUACCGACAUGCCAACUUCCCCAGUGAAAACGAGAAUACCUUUGACCAGCUUUGGCCAUCUUAUCACAGAAGUAAAGAGACAGCUUUUUGGCAUUGAGGCCCCAGCAGCUGUCCAGCUAACAGGAUGGAGGAAGCAUUUUAACAGCUACACUCUGAAAGGGCGUCGAAAUUGUGUUCUUGUGACCUAUAGCCUCUUUGCCUUGUCUGCUGCUAUAUAUGUGCUGAGGAGAGGCAGCAAAGAAGACAACAGAGAAACGCACACCAGAGCAUGAGUGAAAUCUACGAUUUUCCUGCAGUCCUGCAUUAUCUGGCAUGGCUGAAUUCAAUGUCGCUGUCUUGGACACCACAUAACUUCACUCACCAGUAAAACUUAGUUUGUACUCCAUAAUGUGACCCUGACCCUUGCUGUAUCUAGUUGGCUUGCUGCAGAAAGAUCUUACCUGGAUCAAGGGUGGAGGGAGCUGAUCCUACUCACCAGAAUCAAGUGCCCCAAAACAAGUGAUUAUGGUAGUUAACACGGCAGUUUAAGUUGAGUAACAGCAGGACAGUGGAGUGUAAACAGCAUGUGAAUGGCAAUUCCCUGGGGGACUCACUCACCUGGGAUCACUCACACUCUGUACAUCACCCAAACCAAGGCAGUCUUUUCAUGUAGUUGGGUGCAGUAUGAGGACAUUUGCUGUGAAAUGUAUUCGUAAAUGUUUGUAAAAAUGUACUGUACUGUAUGCUGAUCCUGCUCAAAUGGGCAUGCAUGGAAAACAUUUCCAUAAAUGCCGUCAAAAUAAACCUAAAAUAGCUCA